CCACCCUCUUCGAAGGGGUCUUUAGGUACAGCUGGCGGCAGGCUUAACACAUGCAGUCGAGCGCCCCGCAGGGGAGCGGCAGACGGGUGAGUAACGCGUGGGAAUCUACCCUUUUCUACGGAAUAACGCAGGGAAACUUGUGCUAAUACCGUAUGAGCCCUUCGGGGGAAAGAUUUAUCGGGAAAGGAUGAGCCCGCGUUGGAUUAGCUAGUUGGUUGGGUAAAGGCCUACCAAGGCGACGAUCCAUAGCUGGUCUGAGAGGAUGAUCAGCCACAUUGGGACUGAGACACGGCCCAAACUCCUACGGGAGGCAGCAGUGGGGAAUAUUGGACAAUGGGCGCAAGCCUGAUCCAGCCAUGCCGCGUGAGUGAUGAAGGCCCUAGGGUUGUAAAGCUCUUUCACCGGUGAAGAUAAUGACGGUAACCGGAGAAGAAGCCCCGGCUAACUUCGUGCCAGCAGCCGCGGUAAUACGAAGGGGGCUAGCGUUGUUCGGAAUUACUGGGCGUAAAGCGCACGUAGGCGGAUUGUUAAGUGAGGGGGUGAAAUCCCAGGGCUCAACCCUGGAACUGCCUUUCAUACUGGCAAUCUAGAGUCCAGAAGAGGUGAGUGGAAUUCCGAGUGUAGAGGUGAAAUUCGUAGAUAUUCAGAGGAACACCAGUGGCGAAGGCGGCUCACUGGUCUGGAACUGACGCUGAGGUGCGAAAGCGUGGGGGAGCAAACAGGAUUAGAUACCCUGGUAGUCCACGCCGUAAACGAUGAAUGUUAGCCGUCGGGCAAGUUUACUGUU
rnacentral:rRNA from 1 species